CGCAAGGGGAAAAGACCCCGGAAGUAUGCAAAUGUAUAAAACCUCAGGUUAAAAGGUCAAAACCAGUACUUGUCCUUCAAGUCGCCCGCUUGGCCCUCUUCCAGUUAAGGUGGCAGGAAUGGAAUCUUGGAUUCACCACAGCGGAGUUACAUUUUGGACACCCCCUGAGGAACCUAUGGGACCAUCAGCUCAGGAGUCCCAAGAUCAGCCAGACCAGCCUCGAUACACCUGCGAACAGUUGGAAGACUUGCAUCUCCUAUGUGGGAAGGAAACAUCCCAGACUAAAAAGGCUCCUACCAAUGAUCCUGAAGAAAAACCCCUUCCUCCUUAAAAAAGAUAAGUGAAAACCACAUAAUCUUUAACACCUCUCCUUACCCCUUUAAUGGAAUCGUUUUACUAUUUCAUUGUAUUAUUAAGCAGCAUACUAACCAUACUCUUUGUGAUAGGGCUAUAAACUGUAGCUCCUGCUGGGUCGAAUAUCCUAAUCACAUCAACCUUCUUUCUAUCUUCCUUCCUUCUGACAGCAAUUUACUCCUACCUUUAACUCAGCCUGGAUAAAAUGAUCUCGUGUUCCAGAGCACCUCUUUACCUUCCUAUUUACUCUUUGCCUAUCUAUCCCUCCUGCUUCCUUGGAUACGUCAUACAAUCACCUAUCCCCUUCCACUAGCUCCUAAUUACCUCUACAAGACUCUCAACUUAACCCACUCUCUGUUAAACCAGUCCAAUCCUUCCCUGGCAAAUGACCGUUGGCUUUGUAUCUCUCUAUCAACCUCGGCUUACGCUGCCACUCCCAUUCCCACAAAAAAUUGGGUCUUUACCAACUUAACCUACCACCCUCAUUAUGAAGGGAAAGCCCCUUUCUGACUUCUAAAUAUGCAAUCAUUAGCCGACUUCCCCAUCUCUGACAGGACCAAGAAUACCCUAACAGGACCAGGACGUGCAAUCCAACUUUCACGUUCUUACAUUUCCAACCUCACCUAUUACACAAGCAAUGAAAAGCCCAUACAUGGUCCUGUAACUACGAAUAUCAUCUUAACUUUCCCAGCCCCUUUAUGCAUUCAAUGCAACCUGUUAUCAGGGCUGCUUCUGGGGCACCUACUACCGCAUCAGUGUAAUUAUACCCUACAACUUCAAGCCCCAACUGAUCAUAGUAACUUCCGAGUCACACAAGUAGCUCCAUUCAGACGGCUUCUCAGGGCCCCUCAAAAUCAUUACCUCCUCCCUGCUUAACAAACAGUCCAAGUUUUGUAAUGGCAAACAUACUCCCUGCAUGACCAUUCACCCCUGUAUUCCCUGCGUGAACCCCCACCACUAGUGAAUGCCUUCUCAUCCCUAUUUCAAUCACUCUCUCGAAUGGUUCCUAGUAGAUACAAAAUGAUUUUUUCUCCAGUGGGAAAAUAGAACACAGGGAGCCACUCAGUUUGCUUCCAACACCCCUUUCCAGCCACUCACUGGAGCUACCUUGUCAAGUACUCUAGAAGUAUGGGAAAAUGAAAAUAACAAACUCUUACACCAAACUCUGGAGUUGGGCAACAUGGCUUCUCCCCUUUCUAGGUCCCGUGGCAGCCAUCUUGCUAUUACUCACCUUCAGGCCCUAUAUUUUUAACCUCCUUGUUAAAUUUGUUUCCUCUAGAUUCGAGGCCGUCAAGCUACAGAUGGUCUUACAAAUAGAACACCAAAUGCGCUCAACUAACAACUUCUACCGUGGUCCCCCGGACUGACCCACUGGCCCUUUCACUGGCCUAAAGAGUUCCCCUCUGGAGGACACUACAACUGCAGGGCCCCUUCUUCACCCCAUCCAGUGGAAGUAGCUAGAGUGAUCAUAUGAAGUGUGCGUAUGGUACCUAUUGGAGCUAUCUUGAGCCCAUAUAAAGAGUAAGCUUUAGAAUGAUGGUGACUCACAGAGAAAGGGUUUUGAUGUUCAACGUUUCAUGCAAGUUCAAAAAACUUGAUUCUGGUAGCAAAAUUAUAGCAGGAAGAGGAAGCAGGACACCAGAGGCUUUUCUUUUCAUGGUGAGUGUCAAACUGAAGCAUACCCAUCCGUACUUUUUAAUGGAAUGAACAAGCUGUGCUCUCUAAAAACCAGAAUAACUAUUAAUAUCAUCAUCAGCUAUGGAAAUACAGUGGCAGAAUGUCUUAUGUCCCUAGCAACAAUCCUUUUUCUCCUCAGAACUCACCUUGCUUACAUCAUUUCUCACCUUAAGAAAUCAAUUAAUUCGAAGACUUCCUCCACCUAUCCCACUCUAAGACUUAAGAGUCUAAGAGAUAAACAAUACAAUUUGUUCUCUCAUUUUCUCUACAGAGACCUCCUAUUCAGAAUUGGGUUUGGGCUCUGCCUUGCCUCAGGAAGUUAAUAAAAUUCACUUUUCAUGUAA